AGUGAACGCUGGCGGUAGGCCUAACACAUGCAAGUCGAACGGCAGCACAGGAGAGCUUGCUCUCUGGGUGGCGAGUGGCGGACGGGUGAGGAAUACAUCGGAAUCUACUUUUUCGUGGGGGAUAACGUAGGGAAACUUACGCUAAUACCGCAUACGACCUACGGGUGAAAGCAGGGGACCUUCCGGCCUUGCGCGAUUGAAUGAGCCGAGGUCGGAUUAGCUAGUUGGCGGGGUAAAGGCCCACCAAGGCGACGAUCCGUAGCUGGUCUGAGAGGAUGAUCAGCCACACUGGAACUGAGACACGGUCCAGACUCCUACGGGAGGCAGCAGUGGGGAAUAUUGGACAAUGGGCGCAAGCCUGAUUCAGCCAUACCGCGUGGGUGAAGAAGGCCUUCGGGUUGUAAAGCCCUUUUGUUGGGAAAGAAAUCCAGCUGGCUAAUACCCGGUUGGGAUGACGGUACCCAAAGAAUAAGCACCGGCUAACUUCGUGCCAGCCGCCGCCGUAA
rnacentral:rRNA from 1 species